GCGGGGUCAGGGGUCGGCGCCUCCCUGGUUGCCGUGGAGACCGGGGCGCGCGGCGAGGGAUGCGGUGCCUGAGCGCUCCCGCUAGGUUCUCGGUGCUGCUGGGGCCUGGCCAGUGCUGGUGCUUGCAUGGUACGGACCACAAAGGCCGACAGAAGGGUCCUGGAGAGAUCUCCAGGAUAGGAACCACUCCUGAGAGAAAUCACCAGGCCCUGGGGACUGCCCGAGCUGGGGAGAGACCCAGUUUCAGUCUUUGAGGGCGGGGAAAUCUGCCCUCGCUGACACAGCUGGAGUUCCCUAGUAGAUGGAAUGGGUCCUCUAAAUGUCGGAAACAGAAUUUCUCCAACCUCUUAUCAAUCCUUUUUGAAAAGAGAAGAUCCCAUCAAUUUAAUAAAAUGGGCAUACUCCACCCAGUCUUUGGGGGAAAGGAAGCAAACAGAAGAUGUCAAAACUAACACAGACAUUAAUUAAGACCUCAGGAGGCACUGAACUGGCAUCAGAAGACCUGAUACUGUUCUGAUCUUUACCACGAUCAAUCUAUGAGACUUUGGCUGAGACACUUCCCCUCCCUGAACCUAGGUUUUCACUUAAGUAGAACAGGUCUCCAUAGUGUCUCAAACCCCAUCAUGACUGUUGGGACCAGCCGAAAGCAUCUACCCCUGUACACUAACCACCAACUGCACUACCUGGACUGUGUGGAGGCCACGACCCAAUUUGGGAAGAAGAGGCUGGAAGAAGUAUAG
rnacentral:lncRNA from 1 species